rnacentral:rRNA from 1 species
UACAGAGGUCUCAAGCGUUGUUCGGAUUCAUUGGGCGUAAAGGGUGCGUAGGCGGCGCGGUAAGUCGGGUGUGAAAUCUCGGAGCUUAACUCCGAAACUGCAUUCGAUACUGCCGUGCUUGAGGACUGGAGAGGAGACUGGAAUUUACGGUGUAGCGGUGAAAUGCGUAGAUAUCGUAAGGAAGACCAGUGGCGAAGGCGGGUCUCGUGGACGAGUUCCUGACGCUGAGGCGCGAAGGCCAGGGGAGCGAAACGGG